GUGCUGGUUCCCAAGUGGGGAGAAGGAGAGGGGAGCAGGGAAGUGGGGUGAAGGUUAGACCUGGCGCGUCCGCCCCAAAAAAGAAACCGGGGUUCUGGAGACCGUGGGAAGGAGGCAAGAGAGGUGAGCGUUCCGGGUGCAGGGAUUUCAGCCGGCAAGGCAAGAUCUGAUCGGCCCAUCUUGGAGAACAUGGAGAAUACAUCCCAGCAUGACACAGGGUUUCUUAAUGUAAUAGUCAAGGUGGAAGAAGAGGAAAAGCUGAAUGAGCGUGAAUUAGAGACUUUCUCAAGGACCAGCUCAGGUGAAGGAUGGGCUACCAAGGGCCAUUAACUGUAA